AAUCUAAAAAUAGGAAAUCCAUUUAAGGCAUCAACAACCAGAUCCACCUCAGCUCACAGGAGCAGCUCUUAUUAUUACCAUUGAAAUAAUACUACGCACAUGCCGAUGAAUCACAACACUCCUUCCCAACAGGCAGCACAAUGCAUGCAUCAGAUUCCUCAAAAUCACACACUCAAAUGCACAUGCUAAACUCUGAUGUCAGAUAUUUUUAGGUAACAGAUUUCAGAUAUAUACGAUUAAUCUUGCUGAGAUUGCAGGUAAACUUGUGUGUGGUUUUUAGGAAUCGGAUGCAUACAUAGUGUCUGGUUGAACAAUAGAAGUGAAAAGAAAGUUGACUGUGGAGCUGAGGAAUUAAUGGCUUUGUUUAGGUGUUAUGUUUCAGCAGUAAUGUAUUUAUAUUGAAGUUGUUGGAAUGAUUUCCUAGAUCUGAGUUUUUAUUAAAAGGAAAUAUACUUUUGCAACUGUAACUUUAAGACCUGGUCUACAUCUAAAGUUGCAUUCGUUUAGCUUAAAGUGUAAUUUUAAAUGGAUUUAGGCAAGGUGGGUGCAACUUUGUGCAUAGGCACUUUUAAAUAGAUUUAAACCUGACAUAUUGACUAAGUUGCUCCUGUAACUUAAUGCAAGUUAAACAAAUAAGUCACUUUUCAACUGAUAUAAAAGUGUCUGUGUUGGGGUUUGCAUCAAUUUAACUAAAUUGUUUUAAACAUUAUUUAAGUUAAGCCAGUGCAGCUUCUGUGUUUAGAAAAGCCUCCAGUUAAUAUUUGUGUGUCUGUAUAUACACAUGAUAAAAAUUAUAUUUAAAGGAACAUGAAGGUUGUAAAGUCAAGCAUUCAAGAGCUAGGAAAUGCCAGAAAUACAGUUGCCUGUGCAACCAUAAGUUGACCCUCUUGUGCAUAUGCAUUGUGAUACAGUCCAGUUAUAUUACAUGAUCACACCUGUUGUUUCCAUAGGAGUCCUGCCUUAUUCAGUGCACAGGACAGACGGUGCUCACUGAAUGAGCAGCUAUUCAAUAUUUUGUUUUAGCCUCAUUGUGUGGUCCUGUGCCUUGUUUACUGCACACUAUUCAAACUCUGCUGUGAAUACAGAAUUCGUUUCCUCACAGGCAUUCUAUAAUACUCAUCACUAUAGUAUUGGCAGGGCCAAAUUAAUGCAUAGGCAAACUAGGCCCAGAUUCAUGGGGGAGCCACUCAGGACAGGUCUUUACUACAGCACGGAUCCACGCUCUGAUAUCGAUCCACUGACGGUUGAUUUAGUGGGUCUAGUAAAGACAUGCCAAAUUGACUGCAGAUCGCUCCGCAGUCGACCCUUGUACUCUACCCCCCGACGAGAAGAGUAAAGUAAGUUGAUGAGAGAAAAUCUCCCGUCGACCCCCUGCAAUAACUCAACCUAAGGUAUGUUGACUCCAGCUAGGUUAUUCAUGUAGCUGGAGUUGCAUAGCGUAGGUCGACUUAUGCAGUAGUGUAGACAGCCUCAGGUUUGGCCCAGCUGCCUCUCCAUCGUGAUGGAGGGGGCAGCCGGGCCAAAUUUGAGUGAGUGGCGUUGGGACCCUAUUCCCCAGGUUGCAAUGCUACUCACUCAAAUUGGCCUUGGCUGCUCCACCGUCAUGAUGAGCAGUGCCCCAAGAAGCUGGAGGAUAAGCAGAUGGUCUGGUAGAUCCACAGCAUUGCCAGCCUGGCCAUGCUCCCAUUGACGUCAGUUGCAGCUGUGAGUUCUCUGCACUUCUGCAGAUCGGAUCCCAGCAUCUCAAGUUGGAAACCAAGAAAAAGAGGGACACAAUUAGUGACCACCUCUGAAAGAAAUCUGAUUGAAAUGACUUGCCCAGCAUCGCAUAGGAACUCCAUGGCAGAGGCAGGAGUAGAAUCCAGUUAUUCAGGGCAACUUUCAAUUGCCUUAACAAUGAAAGCAUCAUUUUUCUUCUUGCAAUCCCUUCCUCAUUCACUGCAUACUGUGCAGCUUCUGCAACAAAUGAGGCACGGGACCUACAGACGAGUCUCCUUCACUGCACGCAAUCCUGAUUCCUUCCCAGAGCAGGUUCAUGCUGUGCACUGAACAAGGCAUGGAUCCUGCUAAACCAGUCAAUCUCCCUGCUCUCUCUCUCCUCCUCCCCCCCGCCACCCAAAAGUCUGGUUCUUGUUCCCUUUGCAUUGAAUUCAGGCAGCUUCCUCCUCCUCUGCCUGGGUGACAACAUGGGGGCAUUGAGAGCACAGGAGAAAGAGUCUCAUGGUGUCUCUCCAUAUUUGUAUCUGGCGUCACAGUAGCCAUGAGGAGUGAUUGGAGGGAAAAUCCUGAUCAGACCUGCUGGCUUGGCUGUAGCAUACUCUCUGCAGAUAGAAUCUUUGGAGAAUUUAUCCGCCAAACUCUUACAAGCCUUUGAAAAAUCACAAUUCACACAUGGUCAAAGGCUUGUAAUUAAUCAAGUUUGGGCAGUUUUUCAGGGGGACAGCAAAAAGUAUAUCCUUGACACCAGAAUAAGGGUCAGAUUUCGAGGCCUUGCUCCCAUGGAUGGGAAUGCUAGGGCUUCGCAGAGAUUUGUAAUUUUUUUUUUUUUUUAAACCAUGGACUAUAAGCCCCUGUUUUUUCCCUGAUCAUGUUCUCCCAAACGGAUGAACCAUUUUCUCUUAAGUUCCUCCAAAAUGUUUCAGCCUGAAGCAGAGACCUGGCAUGGGAAAUUUCAACCCAAAUGAUUAAAGUUUGGCAAAGUUACAAGCAAUUGAAAACAAAGUCUUAUAAUGGGAAGUGCUGGGCAACCUUAACUAUAGGCAGUGCUACCAGCCCCAUCAGUAAUAUUUAUAGAGUGCCAGUUUGCAUAGCGCUGUAACAGAGAGAAUGUACCAAAAUAAACAGGAACCUGCUUGGAGUGACUAACAGAAGUUGGCCCAAUAAAAGAUAACUACCUCAUCCAGCCUUGUCUCAAACUGAAAACACACAGGAUAGCACGAUUGGGUUAUAGCCAGAAUGGAGCAUAGAAUAAUUUACAUACACUACACAUUUUUAGAGGUACUUAUGAAUUAAUAGUUCUCGUUUUGUUUGAAGUUUUAAACUUGAACUGUUUGAGUUACACUGGAUAAGGAAAAAAAAAAUCCAACAUAAAGGUAUCCCAUCCCCUUGUUUAGCAUAACAAAAGCAGCCAGAACAGAUUUUGCUUCAGUCUUUUGUAGUCUGACUUUGGGUUUAGUCAAAGUGAAAAGUUUCUGACCAAAAUAUUUGUAAAAGUUUGGAAUGACUGAGAGAGGGAGUUUAAGAUGAAAGUACAUUCCCUCACAACAAUGUAAUGAAACAAAUAACCCACCUUGGGACUGAGGUUUGUUGCUGUACAGUUAUCAAAUGUUAGUUACACUGGAGUUGAGUAACAUACCAGUAAACUUCUCUUUUUAGGACUUUAUAAAUAAACCCAAAUACACAUUGCAAGAGAAAAUUUGACAAUAUUGUUCUUUGCACUUCUGAAGUAUCAAAAUAUCUAGUCUAUUGCCUCCUGCCCCUUCUGAUCUAUCUAUAAAUGGCCCUGGAAACAUUAACAGAUGGCCAGAUUCAGAACUGGUGUAAGUGAGAAACUCCAUUGGCCGAAGGUCAGUGGAGGACAAACCUAAAUGCUUAGUAGUUACUACAGUAAAUUAAUUACUGUACUUUCUAUUUAUUUGCAUGUUCUAAAUAUCAUCAGGAUGGCAUAAAAAAAGCAGACUAUUUGCCUCACAUCAUGACAAUGGAAUUCACUUGGCUCAUUGUGUGAGGUAAGUAAUUUGAUGCAACUACAAAAUACCCAGUUUACUAAACAAACCAAUAGAUAUCAAAAUACGUAAUUUACACAAUUUAAGAUCUACAAUAGGACAUUUUUUAAAAAAGAAACAAAAACUAGAUUAAAAUAAGAGUUAAUUACCAAAGAAUCCCACAAAAGCAAGGAGUCACAGAAUUUAAGGUCAGAAGGGACUAUCAGAUCAUCUUGUCUAAUCUGUAUAUCACAGGCCACCAACACCCAAAAUUAGACUGAAGUAUUUACAGCUCACAGGAAACUAAUCUAUUAUGUGUCACAGGGAAACACUAGGAGGGACUGAGGUGUACCAAUGCCCGGGGCCUCUGCAAAGGCAGGGAACUGAUUCAGGUAUACCCAGUUGAUCCUGGCAAGUAGCCCACACCCCAUGCAGCAGAUGAAGGCAACCUCCCACCCCCCCCACAAGGUCACUUCUCAAAGAAGGAAAUCAGAUUAGUUGUGGCACUGUCUACUUUUGGUAAAAUCAUGUUGUAUAACAUCCAUGAAUUUAAUUACUCUUUCCUUCACAAUUUGUUCUAAAACCUUGUGUACUACUGAGAUCAGAUUAACCUGUCUGUAAUUGCCUGGAUCACUUCCCGCCCCACUUUCUUAAAUAUACAUAUGGCUUUAGCUAUUUUACAGUCAUAUGGUACUAUCCCCGAAUAGACAGAAUUAUUAAAAAUCCUUGUUAUCUGAUUAGCAAUCUCCUAUGCCAGUUCUUUCAGUAUUUUAGGUGCAUGCAGCUCUAUUUUUUUCUUCAGCCUCAGACGUGGUAAUAUUUCUAUACACUUUCCAUAUCCCAGUCCAACCCUGGGGUUUUACAACAGACCCUAACACUAUCCCAACAGAACCUCUUUCAUGAUCCUUCUCUAAUGAUUUUGACCAAAAUAGAUUCAGUUUUGUUCAUACUAUCACUUAGUAGUUCUUUAUAGUUUACCAGAUCAUUGAUGUACAAAGCUACCCCACCACCUUCACCUUUAUUUCUGACUCUCCUAAACAGCAUAUGUCCUUCAGUACUUUUACUUCAAUCAUGAGUGCUAUUUCACAAUGUUUCUGUAGUCCCUAUAAUGUCUGGUUUGACCUUCUGCAUCAGUAAUUCCAGUUCCUCCAUUUUAUUGGCAAGACUUAUAGCACUCAUGUACAAGGAUAUGAGUUUCCUUCAGACCUCACCCAGUUUUCCAGCUGAAAAUGCAGUGACAUUUAAAAAUGUCACAUCUUUGUAUAUUGCCAAAUUAAUCAUGGGUACUUGCUCUUCAUGCAGCAAAUCUGUGAAGAUCUCAAAUGUGUGUGGCUGAAUUUACAGGAGUUGUAGGGCUGCCACACUUUAAUAGUAUGGAGGCAUCCCUUUAAUUUCAUUACAGUGCUCUCUAGUAGUGGCAUAUACAAUUUUAAUAACUACACAAACAUACAGCAAUUCACUAAAUAUGCAUGGGAUCAUAUACAUGCAUCAAAGGAAUAUAUUUUAUAGCUUUGAUUGUUUUUUGUUUGUUUACAAUCCUUUGUGCCUCUCAGAGGCUCUCCAAGUGCUUUCUAAGGUAUGUGUGUAUUAUCACUAUUAUACAGAUGGGGAAACUGAGGCAUGGGGAGGUUAGAGGGACAUUCAGCUUUCAAGUGUUGUCUGUUAUUUUUGCAAGUAAAAUCUGAUUAUUAUUGAAAAACUAGAGGAAAAUUCUAGUCUGUUUUUCAGUUUACUGUGCACUUGACAGAACUUUGUGUGUUUAUGUUCACUGUUUCCCCUGUAUAGUCAGUUCCCUCUGUGCACACUGAAAGGGAAGGGAAGAUAUUUAAAAAAAGCUAAAUGUGAUUGUAAAGCUGUAACAUAGGGGCAGCUGUACUGCCUGAAAUCACUUAACUCAUAUUUUGAAAAUGAUUAGAUUUCAAGUUGAUGUUUCUAAGUGACUUUUCCAGGGUUAUGAAGGAAUUCAGUCAGGAACACACUAUACUAUGUGUGUUUGGAGGUUGUGCAUGUCCAGAUUUGGGAGCAGAGGAAAUCAUAAUAUAUGGCUCUCCCCUUCCCACUGGGAAAAUUGCUCGGCCACCUCUGCAGCACCAUUCACUUCCCUUCUCCUCCACUAUACCUUGUGAAGGGCGCUCCACAUAGGGUGGGAAAGGCUGGAAUGGUGGUGGUGGUGGUUAAAAUGGGGGCAGGAAUGCAUAUCAUCUCCCGUCUGGCCCUGUGGAAAUUCAGAAGAAUUUACAAUACAGCCUGGGGAUUUAUUCUUUUUGCCAUGGAGCUCCCAUCUCAGUGGGGAAAUCCCCUUUGUGGGCUGGGAGGGUAGGGUAGGUUUCAAAGGCUGCUUCAUUGCAGCCACACUGCCAGGAACCAAAAGGGGUGUAGAAGAGGCAAGAGCUGCUGCAGGAACAUGCAACUGCCACUGAAAUGGCCUUAGUCUUCUGUGGUCUCCCCUCCAGGAACUACAAGUGUUCUAGCCAGGCCAUGCACCCUAUACCACAUGGGUUGGAGUGAGAGGGGCAAACUCACACCAAGCUCCUCCCAGUGGAAUGAUGCGGGGGUGGGAGGGAGGGGAAUUCCUUUUCCUUCUCUUGGAGGGUGCAAUCUGAGUCCAGGUCUAGUGGCUUGACAUUAUGAUAUACUGAGAUUUAUUUGCUGAUUAGAAGUAGACAUUCAAUUAUUAGUUUUCCACAUGCAAAUCACUCCUGUAUUAUAUCUUCGUGGACACACACACACUGAGAGCAUUGAGAAAAGGCGUACUUCUGGCACCUUAGAGACUAAAAUUUAUUUGAGCAUAAGCUUUCGUGAGCUACAGCACUGAGUAUCUUGUUGCUGCUACACAGAAACUAUUAUUCUUAUUCUUACUAUUCUUUUUUUGUAGAAUCUUCAUUAGGCACCUAUUAAAGUAUGAGAAAUGCCUUUGUUGUAAGACUCCCAGCUCCUGAUCUUUGUGGAAGUAGUUAAUAUAUAACAUGAAAUCGAACUACUUCAGAAUAUUUUGAUCAGACCCAAUAACUUUUGCACUGUUCAUUCCAGAUUUCUCUCUCUCCUUGUCCCUCCUCCCAUGUUUCCUCUUCUGCUUUUCUCUUCCUUUUCCCUUGUUUCCUUUUCUAGCAAUCCUUUCUUGUCUGGUUGUUUGUCAAUAAAAUGUUUGCCUUUAGGUGGGACCUGAACUGUGCUAUGUCAGCUCACCUGGGGAUAGAGGUUUCAGUAAGUACAAUAGACCACGACAAGCAAUGAUAGGGUAACUUCAGAAUCUGAUACCUCAAUAUAGAACUCCCGCAUAAAAGAGGGGCCAGCCUCAUUAGAGGAUGUAGACAGAGCCUUCAUGUCCUGUCUUUCUCCCCCAUGCCUGGCACUAUUUAGUCUCCUUCAAGUUGAUGUUCCAUUUAGUCUGCAAUGGUGGAAGGCAUUUAUCUGGCAUUUUUUUUGGAAGACUUACAAGAAACACUUCAGCUAAUGUAUGCAGCAAUACACACUACAUAGAAGGUGACAUCCUAACCCUGCUGAAAUCAAUGGCAAAACUCCCAUAGAUUCAGUGGGGCCAGGAUUACACUAAUUAAGCAGAUUUAAGCUCCUAAAAGGACAUCCAUAAGUGUUUGCUAAUAAAAUUAUUUAUCAUGUAGAAAAAGAUUCUUAAGAGAAACUGAAUAGUUUAAUAUCUUGUUAUUCAAUAUUAGAACUCUGUUGCACAAUUGCUUCCUGAUGUUUCAUUACUAUGUGUGUGUCAGAGAGACUGUGAAAGUCAUAUGACUAGUAAACAAUAUAUAGUUUCCUUGUCCCAGUCAGCCCACCUAUAAAUAAAUAAAGAGACCAUUCUAGAUACUGAUGCAGUCAUGCUACAUCUAAGCUGAACUUUUCUGGGAAAUAAAAGUGUAAUGCACAAAAAUUAAAAGCUAGCCUCCCCAAAAUAUCAAAAAGUUAUACUUUCCCUGAUAAUGUAAAAGUUUGCUGAGAUUUGUUCUCUGGAUUCAUAAGUACUUUGUAGAAAUCAUUACAGUAUCCACAGGAGAUAGUUUUUUAAUAAAUGCAAAAUAAUAAUAAUGUAUCUUUGACACUAAAACAUGCCACUUGCAGGCUAUAACUAACUUAUUUGUACAGGGUACAAGAAAGUUUACUGAAUAAACAUAACCAUACUUGUUUUUGCUGUGUUGUCAUUGCUGACUGGUUUGGGUACGAGUCCUGCCAAAGCUGCAGACUUCAGAGCGUUGCCAUAGCUCACUGCUAAGUUUUCUGAAGCUUUCUUGGCCAGUGAAAAGAUGGGAGCAGACCAUCCUGAUUCUUCAACAGUUUUCUCUUUCCCUUCAUUUUUGAGCUCAGUUAUAUUAGGAAUCAGGGUUCUGUCAAUGAUUUCAAAAUCCUCUUUCCGUUCCACAGCAGAUGCAUUGCAACUCUCUCCUUCAGCCAUCUUUAAAA